UGCAAUUGAUCCCACAAUUGA
rnacentral:piRNA from 1 species